rnacentral:lncRNA from 10 species
CUUAUAUCCAAAAGAAAUAAAAAGCUUCUGUAACUCAGAAAUAAAAUAAAAAGAACUCAAUUUUAAAAGAGAUGAGGCUGGGUGGUGGCUCACACCUGUAAUCCCAGCACUUUGAGAGGCUGAGGUGUGCAGAUCACCUGAGGUCAGGAGUUCAAGACCAGCCUGGCCAACAUGGUGAAACCCCAUCUCUACCAAAAAUACAAAAAAAUUAGCCAGGUGUGGUGGUGUGCACCUGUAAUCCCAGUUACUUGGGAAGCUGAGGCACGAGAAGUGCUUGAACCUAGGAGGUGGAGGUUGCAGUGAGCCCAGAUGACGCCAUUGCACUCCAGCCUGGAUGACAGAGCAAGACUCCAUCUAAAAAAAAUAAAAAAAUAAAAGAGAUGAGAGCAAAAGAUAUGAACACACACUUUGCAGAAAAAGAUAUACAAAUGGCAAAUAAGCUUGUGAAAAGAUGCUCAACAUAUUAAUAAUCAGGAAAAUGCAAAUUAAAGUUGCAGCAUGGCAGCACACGACCACCAGAAAGGCUAAAAUUAAAAAAAGGUGGAUGAUGCAUGGUCCCCACUGACCCCCCUUCCUGGUACUCCUGUCCUUGUGGCGUCCCUCCCCUUGAGUAUGGGUGGGACCUAUGACUUGCUUCUAACCAAUAGAAUAUGGUGAAGGGGAUUGGACGUCACUUCCGUGUUUACAUCACAGAAGACCGUAACUUCCGUCUUGCCAGCCCAUUCUCUCUAAUGACUGUCUCCCUCGCUGGAUGUGAUGAAGUAGGCUACAUUAUGCAGCACCCCAUGAAACAAAGAAUUGAGUGUGACCACCAGGCAACAUCUGGCAAGGAACUGAGUUCCAACAGUGCACAAGGAAGUGAAUCCUGACAACAGUCCCAAGAGCUUAGGAGUGAAUCCUUCUCCACUCCAGCCUCAGAUAAGUCUUGCCCUUAAUUGCAGCCUCAUGAAAGACUCUGAAACCUUGGGCCCAGGUAACCCAUGCCAAGAUUCCUGACCUGCAGAAACUGUGGGUCAUCAAGCAUGUUCUUUCAAGUCUCUACAUGUGUAGUAAUUUGUUAUGCAGCUUUAGAUAACCAAGAGAUGGAACAAUUGGAACUGCCCUACAGUUACGGUGGGGCAUAAAAUGACACAAGCAUUUUGGAAAACAGUUGGGCAGUUUCUUAUAAAAUUAAACAGACACUUACCCUAACACCCAGCAUUGUGCUCUAGGUAUUUACCUAAGAAAAAUAAAACGUGUUUAUACAAAGACUUAUACAUGAAUAUUUAUAGCAGUUUUAUACAUAAUAGCCUACAAGUAGAAACAACUCAAAUGUCCAUCCAAAGACAAAUAACUAAAGUAUGGAAUAUUCAUACAGUAAAAUACUACUCAGCAAUCAAGAGGAAUGAGCCACUAACACAUUCAACAACAUCGAUGAAUGUCAAAAACGUCAUGUUGAGGAAAAGACCCCAGACAUAAAAGAAUAUAUUAUAUAUUAGUCCAUUUAUAUUAAACUCUAGAAAGCACAAAUCUAAUCUUUGAUCAUAGAAAAUAGAUCUGUGGUCAUCUAAAACUGGGGGUGUGAGGUCAGGAUUGACAGCAAAGGCUCACAAGCCUGACUUUUGGGGGUGGUGGGCAAGUUCUACAUCUUGAUUGUGACAGUAUUUACAAUCAACUGUCAAAACUCAUGGAGCUGUUCACUUAAAGUUGGAGAAAACAUACAGAGGAUCCUUCAUUAUAUUGGUAUUGGCAGUGAUUUAUUGGAUAUGAUGCCAAAAGCACAGUACACAAAAACAAAAACAGAAUACAGCAACGGAACAAUUAACAGAGUGAAAAAGUAACCUGUGGAAUGGGAAAAUGGGAAUGCUGUUCUGCAUAGCAACGGAACAAUUGGCAGAGUGAAAAGUUUCUUGCAGCUUGGUGUGGUGGAUCUCACCUGUAAUCCCAGGACUUUGGGAGGCCGAGGCAAGAGGAUUGCUUGAGACCAGGAGAUGAAGACCAGCCUGGGCAACAUAAUGAGACCCUGUCUCCACAAAAAUAAAAUAAAAUAAAAU